GCUGAGCAGAACAAUGUUGGUUGUCCGUAUAAUAAGAAUAUAUGUCCACAUAAGAUAAACUGUGUAACCGUUUUUCUUUAAGCCUUAAUGAGAUAUUAAAACACUAAUAUCACUUAACGUAUACUAUUUAUGCAGUAAUUAUAUUGUUAGUUGGGAGCCACCACGUAUCUAGCGAGCUAGGACCACGGGAAACAGAUGAAACAAAGAAACAGUUUCUAGAGAGCUAGCUAAGAUGAUGAGGGAGGCCCUUUUUUUUUUUUUGCAUCCCACGGAACAUGGUCGAAUCUUUGACGUCCAGUAGACCAAACAGUCGAAAAUUACAUUUCGUGAGCUAUCAUUGGUGUAUUCAAUACUGUUAUUGUAAUUGCAAAUGAUAUAUUAAAUUCCCAAAUUAACAUGAGCGCUAAGCUGGUGUGGUCGAUGGGGCCUCUCGACUGUUGACAUGGUUUUGUUACCCAAUGGUAUCGUUCUAGGAAAGUAUGUGCUAUGAAGAAUGCGGCAAGAACAAUGAUGGAUAAAUUUAUUGAAACACAAGACCGGUAUGUUAGCUUAUCAAGAGAGGAACAGAUAAAUAUUAAAAUUGUGGCAAUUUAUAUGAUAGGCAUACUAGUGACACUAUGGUAGGCGAUAAAUUCUACUCCCUCCGUUCUAAAUUUAAGUCACUUUG
rnacentral:lncRNA from 1 species